rnacentral:lncRNA from 1 species
GCCAAUAAACCCAUGGGAACAUGAAGGACUCAAAGUGGAAAAGGAAAGCGGUAAGCUUAACACUAUGUUUUAAAGCCUACGGUUAGUUGAAUAUUGUGGGAAAUUAUGGUUGUUGAAAGGUUAUACUUGCAUAAGCUAGUUGAAAAUUGUGAAGAUUGUAUGGCAUGUCAUUUACAAGAAAUGAAAAACGAAUAUUGUGGAUGGAGGAUUGAGAAACAAAGUAUUGAAAGUUAGAUAAAUAACGAUGCGUGUAAGUUAGGAAAUAAUCGAGUGAAAGUGAGAAUGAUUGUUGUUGCCAUAUAUGUGGAUUAUGUGUGGAAAUAUAAGAUGGAUUUGGGUGGAAAUUAUUUAGAAAGACUGAAGUAGACAUGUGACAUCUAAUUAAGUUGCUGGUGAUAUAAUUUAAGGAAUUACGUAAGUAAUGGAUAUAAGUAAUUUUAGUAAAAAUGUAUUAAGAUGUGAGUUGAUUAAAGAUGGUUUCAUGAUAGGAGGAAAAAAAUAAAUUUGAGUUAGGAUUAAUUGAUUGAAGUGCUGCUCGUAUACAUAUGUAAUUAAAUAUAUUGAGUUCGUAUUAUUGCUAGGAAGUGCAAAGAUAAAGUUAGAGUAUUGUGGGGGCAUGUCGGAGUAAAUAACGAGUGACUGGCCAUGAAAAUAGUUAGAGACACCUCCGAUCAAAUAGCGAUGUAAUAUCUCGCUAUAGUAAGGUGAGUGGACUUGCAUUUCAAACUUGUUUUGGGGAAUAUGAAAGAUUCUAUCCAACUUGUCUUAGAAAAAGUACCUUGCGAACAAGCUUUUAGUAAAAUGAUUUUAUAUUGUGAAAAUGUUCUAUGCAAUGGUUUAUGUGUUAUCACAAUAUGAUAAAAUGCAUGUUAUGCAUUGGAUGCUUCUUUGCAUGUUGAUGUGGACCCGGCUCUGUGCUAGUAGGUGUGCACAUAAGCCGUUGCGAACCCGACUAUGUUGAGUAGGAGUGCAUAUAAGCCGUUGCUGACCUUGCUAUGUGCGAGUAGGAGUGCACAUAAGCCGUUGCUGACCCUGCUAAGUGCGAGUAAAAGUGCACAUAAGCCGUUGCUAACCCGGCUAUGUGUGAGUGGAAGUGCACAUAAGCCGUUGCUGACCCGGCUAUAUGCGAGUGGGAGUAUGCAGCCGUUGCUUAUGAGAUGAUGAUGAUGGGCGGUGUACAUGAUGAUUGAUAUAUAUAUAUAUAUGUGGUAUAUGGUUGUAAAUGCAAAUAUGUGAGCAUUUGAUUUGUUGAAAUUUGGGAGUUUACAUGUGUUACAUGUUGCUAUUGUUAUUUUAGCAGGAUGGCUUGUUUGAAAGGAAAAUUAUACUUUUUCCUUGAUGUUCUGACUCUCGCUACAACGAGAGUGAAUCUUGCUGCAGUGAGAAACUCUUGGGUUUGGGGGCCUUCACCAGACUUGAUUCUCGCUGCAGCGAGAAACUUUCUGUCCAUUUUGGCUAACUUGUGGGUUUUGCUAUAUAUUUUGAUUCUUUGGUACCAUAGUUGAGUAUGGAUCUUUUAAGUGAUUUAAUCAUGAGGGGUUUACAUGAGGGGCUUUACUAAGAACUAGAACAAAUUGCAUUGUUUUGAGAAAAUGAGUGCAUCAUGAUUUUGAUAAACAUUCCUUAUGGUAUGCUUGUUCCCUUCCUAUGUUCACUCACUGAGUUUAUACUCACGUUUUCAACUUCAUGUUUUCAGAUUCAGUGGUGGUUGAUACGUAGAUUGAGGUGUCCGCGUACCCCCAUCCCUUGGGUAGGUAUCUUGACACUCAGUAGUCAUAUCUCCCCAUCCAAAGUCACUCCGCUA